CCUACGGGAGGCUGCAGUGGGGAAUAUUGGACAAUGGGGGGAACCCUGAUCCAGCCAUGCCGCGUGUGUGAAGAAGGCCCUCGGGUUGUAAAGCACUUUCAGUGGGGAAGAACGCCUGGUGGUUAAUACCCAUCAGGAAAGACAUCACUCACAGAAGAAGCACCGGCUAACUCCGUGCCAGCAGCCGCGGUAAUACGGAGGGUGCGAGCGUUAAUCGGAAUUACUGGGCGUAAAGCGCGCGUAGGUGGCUUGAUAAGCCGGUUGUGAAAGCCCCGGGCUCAACCUGGGAACGGCAUCCGGAACUGUCAAGCUAGAGUGCAGGAGAGGAAGGUAGAAUUCCCGGUGUAGCGGUGAAAUGCGUAGAGAUCGGGAGGAAUACCAGUGGCGAAGGCGGCCUUCUGGACUGACACUGACACUGAGGUGCGAAAGCGUGGGUAGCAAACAGGAUUAGAUACCCUUGUAGUC
rnacentral:rRNA from 1 species